GACGAACGCUGGCGGCGUGCCUAAUACAUGCAAGUAGAACGCAGUUGCGCACGGGUGAGUAACGCGUAGGUAACUGCCUCAUAGCGGGGGGUAACUAUUGGAAACGGUAGCUAAUACCGCAUACUUUUAGAUGGACCUGCGUUGUAUUAGCGAGUUGGUGGGGUAAAGGCUCACCAAGGCGCCGAUACAUAGCCGGCCUGAGAGGGUGAUCCGCCAAAAUGGGAAUGAGACACGGCCCAGACUCCCACGGGAGGGAGCAGUAGGGAAUCUUCGGAAAUGGACGGAAGUCUGACCGAGCAACGGCGCGGGAGUGAAGAAGGUUUUCGGAUCGUAAAGCUCUGUUGUUAGAGAAGCGGUAACUAAACAGAAAGGGCCGGCUAACUACGUGCCAGCAGCCGCGGUAAUAC
rnacentral:rRNA from 1 species